rnacentral:rRNA from 1 species
GCUACCAUGCAGUCGAACGGUAGCACAGAGAGCUUGCUCUCGGGUGACGAGUGGCGGACGGGUGAGUAAUGUCUGGGAAACUGCCCGAUGGAGGGGGAUAACUACUGGAAACGGUAGCUAAUACCGCAUAACGUCGCAAGACCAAAGAGGGGGACCUUCGGGCCUCUUGCCAUCGGAUGUGCCCAGAUGGGAUUAGCUUGUAGGUGAGGUAACGGCUCACCUAGGCGACGAUCCCUAGCUGGUCUGAGAGGAUGACCAGCCACACUGGAACUGAGACACGGUCCAGACUCCUACGGGAGGCAGCAGUGGGGAAUAUUGCACAAUGGGCGCAAGCCUGAUGCAGCCAUGCCGCGUGUAUGAAGAAGGCCUUCGGGUUGUAAAGUACUUUCAGCGGGGAGGAAGGGAGUGAGGUUAAUAACCUUAUUCAUUGACGUUACCCGCAGAAGAAGCACCGGCUAACUCCGUGCCAGCAGCCGCGGUAAUACGGAGGGUGCAAGCGUUAAUCGGAAUUACUGGGCGUAAAGCGCACGCAGGCGGUCUGUCAAGUCGGAUGUGAAAUCCCCGGGCUCAACCUGGGAACUGCAUUCGAAACUGGCAGCUGGAGUCUUGUAUAGGGGGGGUAGAA